UUCCUGGAAAGGAAAAACAAAACAAAACAAAAAACACUGGAAUUAUAUUGUGUUUGUUUCUCUGGCUUUUUCUCUAAAGUUAAUGUUUAAACAGACACAUGAUGUGGGCAGCAGGGCCAGCAGCAGUCCCUAAGCUCCCUCACGAUCUUUUACCCAGAAAAAUCUGAACCGCAAGAGGUGACAACUCCCUCGUCUGCCAAAUCUUUUGUUAAAUUCAGCUUUCCGGAUACAACUGGUGGAAGAAAAGGGAGAAUGCGGGUUGCACAGCAGUAGGUUCUAGGCAGAGGUCAGUGAUUGAUCAGUUGUAUGCAUCAUUAUAUCAGGUGCCCUCCUUAAUGCCCAUCAUCCAGUUACCCCAUCCUUCCACCCACUCUCCUCCAGCAACCCUCAUCCUACAGUUCUGAAAAUGCUCCAAAGCCAUAAAGGUGAAAUGAGUAUCUUGUUAUAACUGAAGGUGACUUAUGGACCCCACCAUACAUCACUACCUCCAGGGAGGAGAGAGGAGCUGGAGACUGACCAACCAGCGGCCAAUGGCUUGGUCAAUCAUAAUUAUAUACUGAAGCCACAAAAACAAAAAAACCCAAAGAGGACAGAUUUUCAGAGAGCUUCCACACUUAGGAAACCAGAACCCUCCCUCAUACCACCAGGCCGGGCCCCAACCUCUCUUGUUUGGGACCUCACCCUAUGUAUCUCUUCAUCUUAUUAUUGAUUU